UGGGUAGCAAACAGGAUUAGAUACCUUGGUAGUCCACGCUGUAAACGAUGUCGAUUUGGAGGUUGUGCCCUUGAGGCGUGGCUUCCGGAGCUAACGCGUUAAAUCGACCGCCUGGGGAGUACGGCCGCAAGGUUAAAACUCAAAUGAAUUGACGGGGGCCCGCACAAGCGGUGGAGCAUGUGGUUUAAUUCGAUGCAACGCGAAGAACCUUACCUACUCUUGACAUCCAGAGAACUUUCCAGAGAUGGAUUGGUGCCUUCGGGAACUCUGAGACAGGUGCUGCAUGGCUGUCGUCAGCUCGUGUUGUGAAAUGUUGGGUUAAGUCCCGCAACGAGCGCAACCCUUAUCCUUUGUUGCCAGCGGUUCGGCCGGGAACUCAAAGGAGACUGCCAGUGAUAAACUGGAGGAAGGUGGGGAUGACGUCAAGUCAUCAUGGCCCUUACGAGUAGGGCUACACACGUGCUACAAUGGCGUAUACAAAGAGAAGCGACCUCGCGAGAGCAAGCGGACCUCAUAAAGUACGUCGUAGUCCGGAUUGGAGUCUGCAACUCGACUCCAUGAAGUCGGAAUCGCUAGUAAUCGUAGAUCAGAAUGCUACGGUGAAUACGUUCCCGGGCCUUGUACACACCGCCCGUCACACCAUGGGAGUGGGUUGCAAAAGAAGUAGGUAGCUUAACCUUCGGGAGGGCGCUUACCACUU
rnacentral:rRNA from 1 species